rnacentral:rRNA from 1 species
CACGUAGGGUGCGAGCGUUGUCCGGAAUUAUUGGGCGUAAAGAGCUCGUAGGCGGUUUGUCGCGUCUGCUGUGAAAACUCGGGGCUUAACCCCGGGCCUGCAGUGGGUACGGGCAGACUAGAGUGCGGUAGGGGAGACUGGAAUUCCUGGUGUAGCGGUAAAAUGCGCAGAUAUCAGGAGGAACACCGGUGGCGAAGGCGGGUCUCUGGGCCGUAACUGACGCUGAGGAGCGAAAGCGUGGGGAGCGAACAGG